rnacentral:rRNA from 1 species
UAUUUUGGAAGAGAUGCAUUUAUUAGAUAAAAAACCAAUACAUACUUUUUCAAGUAUGAAAUUUGGUGAUUUACAAUAACUUAGCAAAUCGCAUAGUGAAAACAGGCGAUAAAUCAUUCAAGUUUCUGACCUAUCAGCUUUCGACGGUAUGGUAUUGGCUUACCGUGGCAGUGACGGUUAGCGGGGGAUUAGGGUUCGAUUCCGGAGAGGGAGCCUGAGAAACGGCUACCACAUCUAAGGAAGGCAGCAGGCGCGCAAAUUACCCAAUUCUAACAGCAUAAGAGAGGUAGUGACAAGAAAUAACAAUACAAGGCAGUUAAAAUGCUUUGUAAUUGGAAUGAUAGAAAUUUAAACACUUUUUAAAGUAUCAAUUGGAGGGCAAGUCUGGUGCCAGCAGCCGCGGUAAUUCCAGCUUCAAUAGCGUAUAUUAAAAUUGUUGCAGUUAAAAAGCUCGUAGUUGAAUUUCUGUUAAAAAUAACCGGUCUGCUUUUAAUAAAAGUGGUAUCUUGGUGUGUUUUUAGCAAUAAUGUCCUUUGAAAUGUUUUUUACUUUAUUGUAAUAAAUAAUAUUCAGGAUUUUUACUUUGAGAAAAUUAGAGUGUUUCUAGCAGGCUAACGCUUUGAAUACUGCAGCAUGGAAUAAUAAAAUAGGAUUUUAGUUCUACAUUAUUGGUUUUAAGAACUAAAUUAAUGAUUGAUAGGGACAGUUGGGGGCAUUUGUAUUUAACUGUCAGAGGUGAAAUUCUUAGAUUUGUUAAAGACAAACUACUGCGAAAGCAUUUGCCAAAGAUGUUUUCAUUAAUCAAGAAC